AAAAAGGUAAACCCUGGGUUUCCGUGUCCAACUUUGAUUGUUCGUCUUAUAUGAAAUUUUUUUAUAAUUCGUAUUUUCAUUGUUGUUAGAUGAUAAAACAUGAUUAAUAUUUUAUGCGUGACUUGUCUUUUUAAUUUUUUUUAUAAUUUUUUCAAAUAAGACGGAUGGUCAAACGUUGGGCACGGAAACCAAGGUUUGUCUUUUUU
rnacentral:pre_miRNA from 1 species